rnacentral:rRNA from 1 species
GACGAACGCUGGCGGCGUGCCUAAUACAUGCAAGUUGAGCGCUGAAGGUUGGUACUUGUACCGACUGGAUGAGCAGCGAACGGGUGAGUAACGCGUGGGGAAUCUGCCUUUGAGCGGGGGACAACAUUUGGAAACGAAUGCUAAUACCGCAUAAAAACUUUAAACACAAGUUUUAAGUUUGAAAGAUGCAAUUGCAUCACUCAAAGAUGAUCCCGCGUUGUAUUAGCUAGUUGGUGAGGUAAAGGCUCACCAAGGCGAUGAUACAUAGCCGACCUGAGAGGGUGAUCGGCCACAUUGGGACUGAGACACGGCCCAAACUCCUACGGGAGGCAGCAGUAGGGAAUCUUCGGCAAGGGACGAAAGUCUGACCGAGCAGCGCCGCGUGAGUGAAGAAGGUUGUCGGAUCGUAAAACUCUGUUGGUAGAGAAGAACGUUGGUGAGAGUGGAAAGCUCAUCAAGUGACGGUAACUACCCAGAAAGGGACGGCUAACUACGUG